GACUCACCCAGCCCCGCACAUAGGAAGAAGGAAGGAAGGCGGGGCCAGGAGUAUAAAAAGCAGAGCUCAGCUGGAGCCUGGCUGCUGAGCAGGCCACAUGCUCUACCUAAGUUCUGAGAAGGCAGGCCCAGCUGUGCUGCUCUUGAUGGGAGAACUGGGUUGGGCCUCCAGGGCUUCUACUGGCUCAAGACACUAGGUCUGCUGCCAGGCCCCGAUGACUGGUCUGGGUCCCUAAGACUGCUGCCAAGGCCUGAAGCUUUGCCAGGACCUCCAGAACCCUCACUAGGCCCUGAAGACUGGGCAGAUCCACUGGGACCCCUACCUGAGCUAGACCCAGAGCCCAUGGACAUGCUACUAGCACCUUCGUACCAGCAGACCCCACAGAACAGUCAUAGAGUCAGGUAAUGCCUGAAUUAUAUAUGCCCUGACUAAAAGAAAGAAAGAAAGCAUGUGAAUUAAAGAUGAACAUCUGGCUGAAUAUUACUGGAUUUGUAUUCCACUGAGGCAAGAUUGUGGGAAAGGAAUAAAUAGGAAGCUACGUAUCAGUGGAAUAAAUAAAGUGCAAAAUGGAGCAGAGUGUUCAGAGUGUAAAACAAAUAUGGAAAAGCAAGGAAAAGCUGAGAGUGUGGCAUGUCUACCACCUCCUGUAUCUUCAACAUGACCCCGCAAGAGCUGCAGGCAGAGGUGAUCCCAGGAUGACUUGGCAAGGGAACACCUUGAGUGCCUCCAGUCCCUGAACCACAACUUUGAGGAGGACUGCCAGGAGCAUUGUACUGACUGGAAGCUGCACCACACCAUCUGGGAGCAGCUGUCCUAGUAGCAUGAGGCAAUGUAUGUGGCAUACACCAACACUGUCAAGGGCCUGGUCACUGUCACUGAAUGAUCCAUCAGCCACCUCGCAGCACCCACUCCUCCCACACCCACCCUUGCCCCCAACCCUUCCCCCAGCUUUUCCUCCUGACUCCCUCUUCCCCCCUCCCUCCCCCUGGGGGCCACUGAGGGCUGUGCAUAUGAGGUGGUGGGACCUCUCAGGCAGCUGAAGCAGGCACCAGUCCCAGACCCAUUCCUGAGCCCCUCCUCCUUCUUCCUCCCAGGUUUUUUCACCAGUCCCUCCGCAGUUAUAU